rnacentral:rRNA from 1 species
CCUACGGGAGGCAGCAGUGGGGAAUAUUGGACAAUGGGCGAAAGCCUGAUCCAGCAAUUCCGCGUGUGUGAAGAAGGCCUUCGGGUUGUAAAGCACUUUAGGUUGGGAAGAAAAAACUUCUCCUAAUACGAGAAGCGUUGACGGUACCAACAGAAUAAGCACCGGCUAACUCUGUGCCAGCAGCCGCGGUAAUACAGAGGGUGCAAGCGUUAAUCGGAUUUACUGGGCGUAAAGCGUGCGUAGGUGGUUUCGUAAGUCGGAUGUGAAAGCCCCGGGCUCAACCUGGGAACUGCAUUCGAUACUGCGAGACUCGAGUUUGGUAGAGGGUGGCGGAAUUCCCGGUGUAGCGGUGAAAUGCGUAGAUAUCGGGAGGAACAUCAAUGGCGAAGGCAGCCACCUGGGCCUGAACUGACACUGAGGCACGAAAGCGUGGGUAGCAAACAGGAUUAGAUACCCUGGUAGUCCACGCCGUAAACGAUGAGAACUUGACGUUGGUUCGUUUUACGAAUCGGUGUCGUAGCUAACGCGAUAAGUUCUCCGCCUGGGGAUACGGCCGCAAGGUUGAAACUCAAAGGAAUUGACGG